rnacentral:rRNA from 1 species
GAUGAACGCUGGCGGCGUGCCUAAUACAUGCAAGUCGAGCGAAUGGAUUGAGAGCUUGCUCUCAAGAAGUUAGCGGCGGACGGGUGAGUAACACGUGGGUAACCUGCCCAUAAGACUGGGAUAACUCCGGGAAACCGGGGCUAAUACCGGAUAACAUUUUGUAACUGCAUGGUUCGAAAUUGAAAGGCGGCUUCGGCUGUCACUUAUGGAUGGACCCGCGUCGCAUUAGCUAGUUGGUGAGGUAACGGCUCACCAAGGCAACGAUGCGUAGCCGACCUGAGAGGGUGAUUGGCCACACUGGGACUGAGACACGGCCCAGACUCCUACGGGAGGCAGCAGUAGGGAAUCUUCCGCAAUGGACGAAAGUCUGACGGAGCAACGCCGCGUGAGUGAUGAAGGCUUUCGGGUCGUAAACUACUGUUGUUAGGGAAGAACAAGUGCUAGUUGAA